UACAGAGGGUGCAAACGUUGUUCGGAAUUACUGGGCGUAAAGCGCGUGUAGGCGGCAUGUUAAGUCGACUGUGAAAGCCCAUAGCUCAACUAUGGAAGUGCAGUCGAUACUGGCAAGCUUGAGUUCCGGAGAGGAUGAUGGAAUUCCCAGUGUAGAGGUGAAAUUCGUAGAUAUUGGGAGGAACACCGGUGGCGAAGGCGACCAUCUGGACGGAUACUGACGCUGAGACGCGAAAGCGUGGGGAGCAAAC
rnacentral:rRNA from 1 species